UGUCGUCUUCGGUUUCCUCCUGGGCAGCCAGUCAUUAAGUGAGUAGAAACUUCAUCUUUCUUUUGUGGCCACCUACGUACCAGCCUACGCAAAGCUACCUAUUUAGGGAGGCGACCGACCCUCGGCAGAGCAGGAGGAGGUUGUCCAGUUGGCACAGUAUUAGCAUGGAUUAUCCAGUAGAAGUUUUUGGACACUCGGCAAGGUGUGUGGUGAUGAUGUGGAGCCAGCAUUGUGGUCCCUCACUAGACUUCAGGCUCCAACUUACAGUCCAGAGGGAGCACAGACAACAAACAGAAAGUUAGGCUGAUCCCAGGAGAAGGAGGUUUGCUGAAUGCCAGAGAUGAACUCCCAGCCACCCGUACAGAAUGGAGAUUUAGAACAGAAGUGGAAUAAUGGAAAAAUAGAUCUGAUCUUUUGAACAUCUGAAUUUGUGGAGUUAGGCUCUUACUUGCUUCACAUGGAGGCAUCUUAGGUUUGGUAAAAAUUCACCUGCAGCAAACAUUCACACUGCAGGUUAAUUACAAACCCCAGAAUUAAAGCCAAGUUGCUCAGAGGCAACGUGUGUAAACUGUGGGAGAAUUGUCAAGCAGAGAGGAGGUCAACUCUCAGAAAUCACUAUGGAUUUUGGAAAUAACUAUGGUCUGUCAUGAGGUAGAGCUUGAAAAAGCGCAAGAGAACCUUCUGGGGUUUUAAGCUCUCUGGGCAGAUAAAAAGGGGUCUUCAGAAGAAAGAAUGGGGGAAAGUACUCAGGUUUAAAAAUAAUUUAAAAAUUUUAGUAAAUUAAAUUACUGGUUUUAAGAAGAAUACCUAGAAAAGAUGAGUUCUGAAAAUGAUUUUUACGGCUUCUAACUUGGGCUGUGAAUUUUCUAAACGAACUAAUCCUUACUCUUUUAGCAGAGCCAGCUAAAGUGAGAAUACUGUUCUCUAGUCUAAGAAAUGGCCAUCAAGGUAAAAGUGAAUUGA